AUUGAACGCUGGCGGCGGGCCUAACACAUGCAAGUCGAGCGAGCGGCGGACGGGGGAGUAAUGUAUGGGGACUGCCCGAUAGAGGGGGAUAACUACUGGAAACAGUAGCUAAUACCGCAUACUAUCGGAUAACCCAUAUGGGAUUAGCUAGUAGGUGAGGGAAUGGCUCACCUAGGCGAGGAUCCCUAGCUGGUCUGAGAGGAUGAUCAGCCACAUUGGGACGGAGAGACGGCCCAGACUCCUACGGAGGCAGCAGUGGGGGAUAUUGCACAAUGGGCGAAAGCCGGAUGCAGCGACGCCGCGUGGGGGAUGAAGUCGUUCGGGUUGUAAACCUCUUUCGCUAGCGAACGGGUAGGUGGAGAAGAAGCGCCGGCUAACUACGUGCCAGCCGCCGCGGUAAUAC
rnacentral:rRNA from 1 species